GUGAUUUCAAUCAACUGAAAAAAAGUUGAAUCUCCAUUAUAACCAUCUUUACAUAUAGACUGCUUUCGAAAACUAUAUCAAAUGAUUUACACAACCGCAGAUUCACUAACAAAAAUCGACUAUGCCAAGUCUGCUACGACUCAUGUAUGUGCAACUUUUGAAUAUAGCAGCCCAGUGCUCCACGAAAGGAUUGAUUGUUUGUGGAAAAGCAACAAUGAUUGACAGGCAAUACACUGUGAUAUGCCUGGUGGAUGCACAACUUGUAUUAUAUCAGGCCGGUGCUCCCAAAAGGAUUGGUUGUUUGUGGAUGAGCAACAUGAUUGGUAGGAAAAGCACUGAACCCUGCAUCACCAAAAGGGUUGUGGGGAUUCAGCAUUGGAUUUUGAGGUUGUGGAUAGGCAGGUUCGAAUGGUCCAAAAGGAUUCAUUUGAUGUUGAGGAACCGCAGCCAUUUGCACUGACGGAGGGGGAGGCAUGGUGGUAGACAUGGCAAAUGGAUCAGCAACUUCAAAUGGAUUAGGGGCUGGUGCUCCAUAUACUGGUCGUUGAGAUGCUCUAUAUGCUCCUUCAUCAUACAAACUAUUCAGUGUGAGGGAGUCCAAUCCACCAGCCAAUUGUCUCUCCUGAGCUGCAGAUAAGUCGCUGCUGGGAGUAGUGACCAGGGC
rnacentral:misc_RNA from 1 species